rnacentral:lncRNA from 1 species
ACACAUGCGAGUUUUUGCUGGCUUGAGAACAAGCAAGGAAAAAGACAAAUCCCACCUACCCUAGCCUAAAAUACACAGUGAGUCUCAGAACCCCGCGGAAGCUGUGGCUCAUUUCUAAAGGUGCUGGCAAUAUCGAGGAAGACUUGUAUCCACAAAAUUCCAAAUGGAAAAGAGAGAAAAGAGAACAACAAACAGAUGUGUGAAAAAAAGACACGAAGUACAAAACGGAUGUAUUAAUGGCAAAUAGAGUAAACUUGAAGCCUGAAAUUGCAGCACUCAUUUGGUGACCAGGAGUGGGCAAACAGAAGGACAAAGGCCUACAAGGUAAGGUAAAUGGAGCAGAUGGAAAGAACUGCAGUUCUUGCCAGUAUUAUUGAGUCACUACAGCAACAGUAAAUUGUCCCUCUAAACUUUGUGUCAUGUGAGAAAAAUAAAACGAUAAUUAAUACAAAAAGUAGAUUCUACAUUAUGAACCCAGAAACCAAAAAGCUCUGCUCUGGAUCUGACUCUGUUACUUACUACCUGAGUGACAUUGAUCAUGUCAUAGAGUUCUAUUCCCUCCUCUGUUACUCAAGAGAACACUUGACUUCUUUAGCCUAGAGUUAUCCUAUGAAAUAAUGCAUGUUAUAUAUCUUCAUACAUGGUAAGAGAGUACAUCAAUGGAAGAUGUUGCUUAUUUAACAUGCCAGGUGGUUGAUACAUAGGACACGCAGUGACUCCACAGUUAAAUAUAACAGUGCCCAGGAGUCUGCUUUCCGUUCAAAGAAGAAUUUGCAGACACUUACUUUGACUGGCUUAAUUUCAGACUUCUUGGGAAUUCUGUUCUGAAGUUAGGAACUUCCAAGGUAGAGGACGUUUGUGUUUGUGUAUUCCAAAAUGUAUUUGCCCAUGUUGGGUCAGUCAGAUUGAGUUGGCAUGUUCUUGGUGAGGUAUACAGUGGAAGUGGGCCAGUUUCCUGCUUCACCUAGGCUAGGCUUUCCUUUUUCCUAGAAAAAUGAAAGGCUCAGGAAAGCAGCCAUGCUAACUACUAUACCACCAUCACCACCAGGAAGGCUCAGGACACUCAUUCCCAACUCUGGAGGAUGCUGUGGGGUUCAUGAGCAGGAAGAGAUCUCCUGAUAAAGAGGUUAAAGACCUAUCAUAUCUCCAAAGAAAGAGGUUAAAUGAUUUUCUGUGAGCUUCGUAAAUGUGGAAGUCAGGAUUUAAUGUAUUGACAUUGAUUUGCUUAACUCUGUGGGGAAGGAUGUAGUCAUCUUGGCAUUCUAUUUUGCCGUGGCUUAGAGGAUGAUUCUUUCAAUGAAAUAGACUCCACCUCCUCCUAGAAGUAUGUACACCACUGUACAUGCAAUCCACCUUUGCCUGCUGGAAGAACAUAUCCUCAGUCUUUUAAGAUUCAGCUCAGUGUCUCUUCUUUCCUGAAAUCUUUACUGACCUCACCAUCAUGUAUUCUGAAGUAUAUACAGCAUAUUGUUGUACAUUCACCCCGUCUCCUCUUUGCAUUUGGCCAUUAGACUGUGAGUGCCAAAGGACAGGGGCUCUGUAUUAUUUGCUUUUGUAUCAUCAGCAUCCAUUAUAGUGUCUGUCCUAUAGAAAACAAACCUUAACAUAAGACUGUUGAAGAACUAAAUUCAUUGCUAAGUGAUUGAAAAAUGUGAUUGAAAAAUGGGUAACUGGUUGUAUCUCUCAACUAGUGACCAUUAGCCUGGCAGCUUUCCCUGUUGCAUAAGGCUUAAGAAUCUCAAGUACCCCACUGCCCUGUGGGUAAAAACUGUCAACUAAAAGGAGACAGAAAACAGAGUGUGACAAAAUAUUAAUAUCAUUCCAAUUUAACUGAGCAGAUUAUCUAAGGUUUCCAGUUAUCCAAGGCAGAGGACCAUUAUAUUAGGACAGAUCAUUUACAGUGGAUAUCAGACUCAGAUUUUUAGUAUGAAAGAGAGGGGCAAGUAUUGUACUCUUUUAAAAGAUUACAAAUAUUCAAUCCUUGGCAAUUUAAUAUUUGUCUUCCUUUGUCUAAGAAUACGAGGGGAAUCUUUGAUGAAAGACUUGUUGAGGCAUAUGGCAAGUUUUGAAAGAAUUUGAAGGUGAAUAAGUAAUGAAAUAUCUAUUCCCUCUUUUAACAUUAAAAACAAUUGUAUUUAACCAAUAAGGAAAAAAAUUCAGGUAAAAAAAUUCCAUGCAUAUUUUUCUUUUUUAAUUUAAUUUCUACUAAUAUUAUGACUCAGAGGCUGAAUCCAGGAUAAAGGUAAUCUAUCAUCAGGGCUCUCUUUCAGGGCAGAAAGAGAACAUAUAAAGACUAGAAAUGAAAAAAAGAGAUUAAACAAGGCUUCCACUUCAUCUCUGGAUUCUAUCACUUAGCAUAGUGUUUUCAAAGUUCAUUCAUUUGUAUCAUGCAUCAGUACUUCAUUCCUCUUUGUGGCUGAAUAUAAAAUCUCGUUGUACAGAUGUACCUUGUAUUGUUUGUCCAUUCAUCUGUUAAUGAAUAUCUGAGUAGCUUCUGCCUAUUGACUGCUAUGACUAGUGCUGUUAAAAACAUCCAUGUACAAGUUUUUGUGUGGACAUAUAUUUUUAUUUCUUUGGGUAUAUACCUAGGAGUGGAAAUGUUGAGUUAUAUGGAAACUCUAUGUUUAAUCAUUUGAGAAACUGUCAGAUUAUUUUCCAAAGCAGCUGCACCAUUUUAUACUCACAUCAGCAGUGUAGGAGGGUUCAAUUUCUCCACAUACUCACCAACACUUUGUUAUCUUUUUGAUACUUGCUAUCCUAGUGCCUUUGAAGUGGCAUCUGAUUGUGGUUUUGAUUUGCAUUUCUUUAAUGACUAAUAAUGUUAAGUAGCUUUUUUUUAUGGCUCAUUGGCCAUGUGUACGUCUUUCUUAGUGAAGUGGCUAUUAAGAUCCUUAGCUGAUUUUUAAUCAGGUUAUUUGUCUUUUAUGAUUGAGUCAUGUCUUUAUAUAGUCUUGAUACAAGACCCUUAUCAGAUAUGUGAUUUACAAAUACUUUUUUCCACUCUGUGGAUUAUUUUUUCACUUUCCUGAUGCUGGUCUUUGAAGAACAAAAGUUUUUAUUUUUAUUUUUCUUGUAGCCAUUGCAAUUUUGGUGAAAUCCAAUUUAUCUAUUAUUUAUUUCUUUUGCUCAUGCUUAUCCAAUAAUUAUAAUCCAACAGAUUAUUAUCCAAUAAUCUGUUGCCAAAGCUAAGGAAGGUCAUGAAUAUUUACUCCUAUGUUUUCUUCUAAGAGUUUUGUGAUUUUAGCUCUUACAAUUAGGUCUCUAAUCCAUUUGGGGUUAGUUUUUGUGUAUGAUAUGAGAUAGGAAUCCAACUUCAUUCUUCUGCACAUGAAUAUCUAGUUGUCCCAAUGCCAUUAGUUGAAGACUAUUCGUUUCUGCAUUUAAUAAACUUGCUAUCCUUGUUGAAAAUCAAUUGAACACAGAUGUAUGGGCUUAUUUCUAGAUGUUGAAUUUAUUUCUGGAUGUUUAUUUCUGGAAUGGAAUUCUGAAUGGACGUCUAUUCCUUUGAUCUGCAGGUCUAUCCUUAUGCCAGUAUCAUUUGUUUUGAUUACCGUGGCUUUGUAGUAAAUUUUGAAAUCAGGAACUAUGAGUCCUUCAACUUGGUUCUGUUUCAAUAUUUGUUGGCUAUCUGGGGUUAUUUGAAAUUUAAUAUGAGUUUUAGAACCAGGUUGUCAACUUCUAAAUAGUAUCAGCGAGGAUUUUGAUAGAAAUUAUGUUGAAUCUGUAGAUGAUUUUAGGGAAUAAUCUUAACAAUGUUAAGUCUUCUGAUCUAUGAACAUGGGGUCUUUUCCCAUUAUUUAGAUCUUCUUUAAUUUCUUAAUAUAUUGUAUUUUUUAGAAUAUAAGUUUCGUACUUCUUUUAUUAAAUUUAUUCCCAGGUAUUUUAUUCUUUUUGAUGUAGUUAUGAAUGGAAUUAUUUUCUUUGUUUCAUGUUUAGAUUGUUCACUGCAAGUGUAAAGAAAUAAAAACUGAUUUUUGUGUAUUGGUUUUGUAUUCUGCAACUUUAAUAAAUUCAUUUAUUAGUACUAACAGUUUUAGGUGGAUUUCUUAGAAUUUUCUAUACAUAAAAUCAUGCCAUCUGCAAAUAGUCCUAACGCUACUUCUUCCUAUCCAAUCUUGAUCUCUUUUAUUUCUUUUUUUGUGCUAAUCGGCCUAUGUAGUGCAAUUUUGAAUACAAGUGGUGAAACAGACAUCCUUAUUUUGUUCCUGAACUUAGGGAGAAAGCAUCCAGUUUUUCACCAGUAAGUAUAAAAUUAGCUGUGAGGUUUUCUUAUAUGUCAUUAUUAUUUUGAGGACAUUUCCUUUUAUUCCUGGUUUGUUUAGAUUUUUUGUCUUCUUUUUUAAAUCAUAAAAAUGUGUUGAAUUUUGUCAAAUGCUGUUUUAGCAUCUAUUGGGAUGAACAUGUGGGGUUUUUUUUGAUAUGGUAGAAUAUAUUAAUUGAUUUUAAGAUGUUAAACCAAACUUGCAUUUCUGGGAUAUAUCCCACUUGGUCAUGUUGUAUAAUUAUCUUUAUAUAUUUCUGGGUUCAGUUUGCCAAUGUCUUAUUGAGGGUUUUUCUGUCCAUAUUCAUAAACAUAUUGGUCUAUAGUUUUCUUGUGAUUUUGUUGUCCGUUUUGUAUCAAGGUAAAACAGGCUUCAUGAAAUACAUUGGGAAGUCUUCUCUCUCAGUAUAUUUAUUGUAAUAGUUUGUAAAUAAUUUCUAUUGAUUCUUUUUUAAAUGAUUGAUAAAUUCAUCUGUGAAGCAAUAUGGACCUUGGCUCUUUCUUAAUGGGUAGGUUUUGAAUACUAAAUUAAUAUUUUAAUUUGUUAUAGGUUUAUUCACGUUGUUUAUUUCUUCUUGAGUCAGUUUAGGUUCUUUGUAUCUUUCUAGGAAUCUGUCCAUUUCAUAUAAAUUAACUAAUUUGUUUGCAUAUAAUUGUUUACAGUAUUUGUUUUAAUUCUUUUUAUUUCUGUAAGGUCUGUAAUAAUGUCCCCUCUUUCAUUUCUCAGUCUUGCAAUUUGAGUCCUCUCUUUUUGUCUUAGUCAGUCUAGCUAAGCAUUUAUCAAUGUACGCUUUAGUCAUGAUAUCUCCUCCAUUAUAAUUAUAAAAUGCCUUUCUUUAUCUCUAGUAACAUUUUCUGGUUUAGUCUAUUUGGUCUAAGUUUUUAAAACCACUCCAGCUUUCCUACAGUUGUUGUUUGCAAGAUAUGUCAUUUCCAUCAUUUUACUUGUAGCCUAUUUGUGUCUUUGAAUCUAAAGUAUAUCUUCUUUUUUAAAUUAUUAUACUUUAAGUAUAUCUUCUUUUCUAAACUUACACAUGGAUAAUGUUUUCUUUAUUAAAAAAACUCCAAUCUGACACUCUGUGCCUUCUGAUUGAAUUAAUUCACAGACGUUUAAUGUUUUUAUUUAUAUAUUUGAAUUUACAUCUUACAUUUUACUUUUGUUUUCUAUAUGUCUGUUGUCUUUUUUGAGUCUCAAUUCCUCUCUAUGGAUUUCUUUUGCUUUAAGUGAACAUUUUCUAAUGUUGCAUAUUAAUUUCUUUAAUAAUUUUUUCACUAUAUUUUUGACUUAAUUUGUAGUGGUUACUCUAGAAUAUACUAUAUACAUCUUAACUGAUCAAAAUUAGCCUUAGAUUUAAACUAGCCUAAUUCCAGUGAUAUAUAGCUUUAUUUCAUUUUCCUCUUUUUUGUGGUGGUGUUCUAUGUAUUACAUCUAUUAACAUUAUAAACCUCAAAAUACAUUUCUAUAAUUAUUAUUCUACCAUAUGUAGUCAUUUUCUUAGCCCAUUACAGCUUUACUCUCCCUACCGCCUUUGUGCUAUUAUCAGCAAAUAUAUUACGCAUAUAUUACAAAUAGCACAUUAUAUAUAAAAAAUAUAUGAAAGUUUUUACAAUUUCUCUUUAAAUCCAUCAGGAGAAGAAAGGAAAAAUAUUCAUUUAUAGUGUCUUUUAUACUUGCAUAAUGACUUUUGCUGAUUCUCUUUGUUUGUUUGUGUGACUCCACAUGGCAAUCUGGUGUCAAUUGCUUUUAGGCUGAAGAAUUUCUUACAGUAUUACUUACCAGGUGAGUUUGCUAGAAACACAUUUCCUCACCUUCUGUUUAUCUGUUAAAGUCUUUAUUUUGCCUUAUUUUUAAAAAGUAGCACACUGUUUUUCUCUUAUGACUUUGAAGAGUUACCAUCAUCUUUCACUUUUAGCAUUUUUACAUCAUGUGUCUGUGAGUCUGUUUGUGUUUACCCUACUUGAAGUUCGUUGUAAUUAUUGUCAAUAAAUGUAAGAAGUUUCAGCCACUAUAUCUUUAAAUAUGUUUUUUUUCCUUUCUCUCUUUUAUUCUGAUAAUCCCAUUAUAUGUAUAUUGAUGCACUUAAUGGUAUUCCAUAUUUCUCUGAGUAUCUAUUCAUUUUUCCUCAUUCUUUUUUCUGUCUGUUCUUCAGCUUGCCUAACUUCUAUCAGUCUAUUUUUAAGUUCACUAAUUCUUUCUUCCUCCAGUUCAAAUCUAAGAUUAAUUCUAAUAAAUGUUUUAUUUCAGUUAUUAUAGUUUUCUGCUCCAGAAUUUUCAUUUGGCUCUUUUUAAUGAUUUGUUUAGUAUUUCUUUUGACCUCAGGAGCAUUCCUUCAAGUUGUCAGAUUGCCCGGUUUUCUCCUGCAAACUAGUUGGCCUACAAACUAGGCUGUAUCUUUAUCAGAUCCUAAAACUCUUCCUAAUAUUUUUUCACUGUAACCUUCCCUGUUCUUGAGAUUGUCCUUUGGCUUCAGCUUCUUCAUGUUUCGUUGAAAAUAAAGUCAGAUCCUUUGGGAAGAAUUUAGAGUCAUCAUUUUGUGUCCUGUUUCUCCUACCAGGCAAAAUCUCUGGGUUAAGGCCCUAGAGCUAAGAGUUGGGACAUUGACAAGAUUCUCUUUGAGUGACAUUCUUGUUUCAGCAACUGAGAACUUGAUGCAGGGAGGGAGAUCUGCGCAGCCUGAGGUCACUUAGUUUAGCUCUCCAGUUGUAGAACAAUUAUCACUUCAAGUUCUGGGGCAGGGGCUAUAAGGAUCUCAGUAUUCUCAACAGGUGGACUGUAUAUUCCAUGAGUGGGGAUUGAGCAGAGAAAGGGAACUGCUAUUCUUGACCGUAUUUACCCAGGUCUUAGCCUCAGCAAUAGGCACUUGGAGGUAGGAUGAGAAACACUGAAGUACCGCUCCUCCUAAGAAUAAAUCCCUCUAGGUGGAGAGUGGGAAUGGUAGAAUCCCUGUAUUCUUGGCUCCAGAAGUCUGGAAUGGGGAGGCUCUACCCUGCUGAGCUGGGUAGGGGGAGAGAUGGGACUUUCUGUGUUCAAGUAUCACGGACUCGCCUUUCUUACUGAAUUUUUAGAAAUUUCUUUGAAUUGAUGUUUCUUCAUUUGCUGUCUGCCUUUAGCACAAUUUUCAAGAGGACUUUAAAAACAUAUUUUUUAUCAGUUUCAUUGGAGUCAGUGGAGCUCCAGAUAUUGUCAUGCCAGAAGUUGGUCUUUAGCCUGAAUUUCUUUUAUAACCCAUAGCAGGUUUUACAUAUGGUGUGAUCUCAAGGCAUAAAAAAUGUAUUAGAUCUUAAUGCUUAGGAUAUUCCUUGGUAUGCUUUAGCUAAUCAAUUAAAUUUUGCUGAGUUAUAUUUAAAUAAAGCAUAAACAUGUCCUUAUUUUUACGUUUUGAAGUCUUCAGAGUGGUUGCAUUUUUGCUGUUUAAUUUUUUCACCAAAUCUUAUUUUCAUUUACAAAUUAGAAUACAGAGUCAGAGAAGUAAAAUGAUUUACCUAUGAAUAUAUGGUAAGCCAGUGAAUUUUUCAAAAGACAGCAUACUCAUUUUUUCCCAUAGCUGUUAACUUUUCCUUUUUCCCCAUUUAUCUUUAAGAUAAGUCAUGAGUUAGAGAAAUCUGUUUCAUAAACAGCAGAAAUAUUAGUACUUGCUGUAAGUAUCAAGGCCUGAAAUUUGAUCUUCCCCAGUCCAAAAAUUAUAAGGAAGAGAUGUUUUAUAAGGCUGUCAACACAUCUGGUGCACAGGUGAAAGCUGUAGAUCCCUAAAACUGGAAGCAAGAAGCUUUUCAUUAAAGAGUUUGCUAAGCUAAGCAUAUCUUUUCUCUGUUCACUAACGUAUUUCUACAAAUUUUACUUGUCUAUAUUGUUCCAAAAAAGCUUGGAUAAUCUAACUAAAGGAAGUUACAACCAGGAAUCCCGCUCAAUCCAGAGAAAAUGAUGAAAGUAUUAGCUGACAAGGCCAAUCUAAGUAAGGAUUUAUUUUGGCCAAAACUUACCAUUUGUCUACUUUACAAGUGAAGUGAAAGGAUGAAUCAAACUGGAGGCCACUAUUUUCAGCAAAACAAUCAAUGCAGAAACAAGAAUUCAAAUGCCGCGUAUUCUCACUUAUAAGUGAGAGCUUAAAAUGUGUACACAUGAACAUAGAAUGGGGAAUGAUAGACAUUGGAGAUUUGGGAGGGCGGGAGGGUGGGAAGGGGUGGGAGAUGAGAAAUUACUUGAUGGGUACAAUGUGCAUUAUUCGGGUGAUUAAUGCACUAAAAGCCCAGGCUUCACUACUAUGUGAUUUAUUCAUGUAAGAAAACUGCACAUGUACUCCUUAAAUUUGUACAAAUUAAAAAAAAAAAAAAAAAGGAAAAAGGAAGCAAACAAACAAAAAACAAAACAACUAAAAAAGGCACACGUGGUCAGACCCCAGAGCUGUUUUCGGGAUCACCUGGGGAAAUAAUGCGGCAAUUAUCACAUCAGCCUCCACUUUUACAAUGGACAACUAAUUUUAAGAAUUAUCCUAUUUCCAGGAUAUAGUACACAUCUCUGCCAGUUUAAGCUUCCAUAGACAUGCUUUUAUCAAGCACCUUCAGCGUCCAGAUUAUAGGGUUACAUUGUCUUCUCAAUUUUUGCUGUAAUUCUUAUUUUUGGAAAUUUCCACGUUGUUGUUGGUAGUAUUCCAUUACAUGGGAUAUGCCAUAGUUUGUUUAACCAUUCACCUGUUGAAGAACAUCUGAGUUGUUUUCACUGUCUAGCUAUCACACAUAAAACUACUGUGGACAUCUGUGUAAGGUUUUUAUGUAAACAUAAACUUUUCAUUUCUCUAGGAUAAAUGUCCAGGAUUAUAGCUGCUGGGUCAUAUGGUGGCAGCAUGUUUAAUAUUUUAAGAAACUUCCUGUCUUCUAGAGUGCCUAUAUAAUUUUACAUUCCAAGCAGCAACAUAUGAUUGAUCCAGUUUUCCUAUAACCUUGUAAUCAUUUGGUUACAAGCUAUUCUGGUUAGUAUAUCUCUCAUUGUGGUUUUAAUGUGCAUUCCUCCAGUGGCUAAUACUUGAUCAACUUUUUAUGUGCUUAUUUGCCAUAUGCUCUUUGAUCAAAUGUCAAUUUUUUCGCCCAUAUUUUAAUUAGAUUUUUCAAACUGUUGAUUUUGAGUUUUCAGAUAUUAGUCCUUUGAAAGGUAUAUUACUUGUAAAUAUUUUCUCCUGUCUAUAGAUUACCUUUUUAUUUAUUUAAGAGACUUUCACAGAGGAUUAGUUUUAAAUUUUUAUAAAAAUUCACCAAUUUUAUCAUUUAUGGAUUAUUUUUGGUGCUUAAUUAAGAAAAACCUUUGCCUCGCUCUAAACCCUGAAGAUUGUUCGUAUUUUUUUCUAAAACUUUUAUAUUGUUAUGUUUUACAUUUAAGUUUAUGGUCUAUUUUGAGUUAAUUUUUGCAGAAGUUGUGAGACUUAAGGUGAAUUAGCUUCAAAAUAUUAAUUGGAAGCGUUCAUCUUCUUCUAUUUUAUGGCAGACAUUGUAUAGAAUCGGUGUGAAUUUUUCUUUAAACAUUUUGUUGAAUUUUCCAGUGAAACCAUCUGUGCCUGGAGAUGGUUUGGGGGAGGAAUUUUAAAACUACAUAUUCAACUUUAUUAGUAGUUAGAGAGUUAUUCAAGUGAUCUGUUUUGUAUCAGAUAAAUUGUGGUAAUUUGUGUUUUUCAAGGAAUUGAUUCUCUUUCUUGGUGGUAUUUUUAAGUCCUAUCUCUUUGCUGAUAAUAUAUCCAGUUAUUCCAUCAGUUUUUGAGACGAGUGUUGAAGUCUCUAACUGUAGUUCUUGAUUUGUCUAUUUCUUGUUUCAAUUCUAAGAUACACAUUUAGGAUUGCAAUAUUUUCUUGGUUGAUUGACCCUUGUCAUUCUCUGUCUCUGCUGCUUUGCUUUGCUUUGAAGCCUACUGCAUCUGCAAUAAUUAUAGCCACACUUGCUUUUUUUGAGUAAUGCUUGCAUGAUGUGUAUUUUCCCCUCAUUUCUUUUAACUUUCCUAUAUUGUUGCAUUUGAAGUGAGUUUCUUGUAGACAGGAUCAUGUCUUUUAAUCACCUCUGCCAAUCUCUGGCUUUUAAUUGAUGUAUUUAGAACAUUUACGCCAUUAAUGCAAGUAUUAAUAUGCUAGAGUUGAGUUUCUCUUUUUUUGUUGUUUUCCAUUUGUUUUCUUUGUUUUUCAUUUACUGUUUUUUCUGCUUUCCUUUACAUUUAUGAAACUUUCUAAAAAUUCAAUUUUUAUUUAUCUUUAAUGUUUUGAAUAUAUCUCUUUGUAUUGUUGUCUUCAUGAUUAUUUUAGGUGUUACUAUAUAUUAUGUAUAGAUAACUUAUAACAGUCUACCAGUGUCAUCAUUUUGUUUGUUUGAGUGAAAUUUGGAAGCUCUACCUUUCUUUAUAUCUUUUUACACUCCCACAUUUAUAUUACAAUUAUCUUAAGUAUUUUUUUCUACAUAGAUUUAAAAUAAUACCAGGUAGUUUUAUAAUUUUUACUUCAAUUAUAAAACAUAAUUUAGAAAACAGAAGAGGAGAAUAAAAUUGUAUUGAAUUUACUUGUAGUUUUGUUUACCAUGUUCUUCCCUCUUUCCUGAUAUUUGAACAUUCCUUUUUUUUAAAAAAAAAAACAAAACUAUUUCCUUUCUGUUUAAAGAACAUCAUUUAGCUGUUCUUUUAGGAGACGUCUACCAGCAAGCAUUGCCUCUGUUUUUUUUUGUUUGUUUGUUUGUUUUAGUCUACACAUAUAUUAAUUUCCUGUUCAUUUCUGAAAGAUAUUUUCACUAGGUAUAGAAUCCUGGCUUAAGAGAUUAUUUUCUAUAUCACUUUAAAAAUUAUCUGCCACUUCUUUCUGUCUUCCAUAGUUUCUGGUGAGAAAUCCACUGUCAUUCAAGUUGUUUUUUCCUUAGAAAGAAAAGUAUUAUUUCUUUCUCACAACUGUUGAGAUUUUUUUCUUUUCCUUUAGUUUUCAGAAGUUUCACUAUGUAGCUUUUUUUGUGUAUGUGUGAGAGAUUAUCCUGUUUGGGAUUCAUUCAGCUUCUUGAACUGUAGAUUUACAUCUUUUGUCAAAUUUGGGCAGUUUUCAGCCAUUAUUUCUUCUAUUUCUAAUUUCUCAGCAUCAUCCUUUUUCUCCUCUCCUUCUGAGUCGUCAAUGACCCAAAGUCAGAUUAUAGUUCCACAUAUCCAUAAGGGUAUACUGUUUUCCAGCCUGUUUUCUCUUUGUUGUGUAAAUUUGGUAAUUUUUAUAUUUUUCUUCUAAUUACCUUCUAAUUUACUAAUUUUCCCUUUGCCUCCUCCAUUCUGCUGUUAAGCUCAUCCAUUAAGCUUCUUACAUUAUAAUAUUUUUCAACUCUAAACUUUUCAUUUUUCUUCUUUAUAUCUUUUAUAUUUUUGCUGAGACUUUGCAUGGUUUCAUUUGUUUCAAGCAUGUUUGUAAUUGCUCAUUGAAAUGUUUUCAUAAUGGUUGCAUUAGAUAUUUGGUCGAUUAUCCUAAUAUAUUUGUCUUCUCAUAGCUUGCAUCUUGGAUUGUCUUUUCUUCACUUAUUCAGAGAUCUUCCUAGUUCUUGAUAUGAUAAGUAAUUUUUGACAGAAAUAUGUACAGUUUGAGCUUUAUAUUAUAACACUGAAUCUCACAUAAAUCUCUGUAUUAACUUGAUUCCUCUGACACGAUGCUGGUGGGGAUGGGGAAUUGCUGGCUAAUUAUUACCAAGUGGGAGUUAAUGACAAGGUUCUCUACUAGACCUCCAUUGACACCAGAGGAAUGGGUCUUCAUUAUCGCUGAUUGUAGGUAAGAGAGUUGGCUCUCCACUAGGCCUCCACUGAUACUCCCUAGUGGGAGAAGUUAUAGUGACUCAUUGUACUAAAUGCUUCCCCUAUGGUAUCCAUGACACCAAGAGGGAGAAGUAACACCAUUACCAUUGGACAAUGGUGAAAGUUCUGCCUCUCUCUAUGCCUCCACAAUCACCCUAGUGAGGAGAAGUAGGGAUGGCUCAUACUACUUGAUGGGUGUGGAAAUCCAGGCUCUCCAAGUGGUCUCUCUCCAUUGACCCUCACUGGGGCAUGAGAUGGUUGUAGGUGGUGACUAUGAAGGUCCCAACUCCUUACUCAGUCUUCUCUGGCAGCACCUUGGCAGAUGUUAUGGGACCCUCAUGACAGACUGGGGACGAUGGAAGUCUAAGUGUUCUACUUGGCCUUUGUUGGCAUUUGUUGAGGUGCUAGUCAGCUGAAGUAAGAAGUUAUUGUCUAAAAUUUCUCUGUCUUUCCAUUCAACUCCUUUAUUUGUCCUUUGGCCAAAGACAGCAGACUUGUGUUUGGGCUUUUUCUUUUUUUUUCUUCUUAUCUCUGGCUUUAAGUCUGGGAUAUAUGAUAUAAAGAGGAUGAAAGGGAACUCAUUAUCAUGUCAUUUAUGGGUUUUAAGACCCCCUUACUAGCCCGCUUUCUUCUCUCUACUUCUCAGAGUUUUAUGUUCAUUUUUGUAUAGUGUCUUGGGUUUUUAGUUGUACUUAGUGUGAGAAAUAGGGAAACGUAUGUCUAUUCCAUCUUUUUGGAAGGAGAAGUUUCAACCAACUAUGUCUUCAGAAGUACUUACUCAUUUUUCUACCACAAAGUACACGUAAAACUAGUUGUGUUUGCCCUAUGGCUGGGGGAAUCAAAUGCCUCAUCCCUUUAGUUAGCAUUAGAUUUGAUAAGUAUUCCCAGGAAGAAGACAAAUGAGAAAAUAUAAACAAAACAAACAAACAAACAAAAUGGAUUGCAACUUUAAAGGAUGAUAUAUAAAUUUGAGCAUAAUAGGAGCUAUUCAGAAGUUUAAGUUAAAAAUUAUUGGCCAGGCACGGUGGCUCACACCUGUAAUCCCAGAACUUUGGGAGGCCUAGGUGGGUGGAACAUGAGGUCAGGAGUUCGAGACCAGCCUGACCAACAUGGUGAAACUCUGUCUCUACUAAAAAAAUUAAAAAAACCAAAAAAAUAAAAAAUUAGCUGGGCGUGGUGGUGCACGCCUGUAAUCCCAGCUACUCAGGAGGCUGAGGCAGAAGAAUUGCUUGAACCUGGGAGGCAGAGGUUGCAGUUAGCCGAGAUUGUGCCAUCGCACUCCAGCCUGGGCAACAGAGCAAGACUCUGUCUCAAAAAAAAAAUAUUUACAAGCUUUUUAGCUUUUUAGCAUUAUGUUGUACUAUGUUUCGAUUUUCAAUCCAGGGAUUAAAAAAAAUUGAGAAGUCUGGCACUGUGGCAUGCACCUGUAGUCCCAGUUACUCAGGAGGCUGAGGUAGGAGGAUCACUUGAACCUAGGUACUGGAGACCAGACUUGGCAAUAUAGUGAGGCCUUGUCUCAAAAAAAUAAAUAAAAAUAAAUUAAAAAUAUGAGAAUUCCUGGACAUAGCUGUGGAUUUUGUGUCAAGUCAGAAAGAUUGUGAAAGCAUCAAUAUUAUAACCAACCCUAUCAUACUUAAAAUUUAAUAGACCUUGGGAUUUGGUAAUCAUUUCCACUGGAAUGAUUUUAGUCAUUACCUUAAAAUUUAUUAUUAACUAUUAUAUUUAUUAUUUUUAUUAAUUACCUUAAAAUUUUAUUAAUUACCUCAAACUAAUUAGAGUUUCAAUAAAAUGUUUUAAUCCUCACAUUUUUGGAUGCUAACAUUCAAGGCUGAAUUCCACAGAAAGUUAAGAAUUGUCAGUUUACUUCAAUUAACUCCUUAGAUAACAUUUUUUGUUAAAUGUGGCAAAAUCUAUGUCAUUAUUUAAAAAUACAGUUAAUCUACAAAUUACAGGUCCACAAGCUUUCUUAUGGCUUUCUUCUAAAAAUAUAGGCCUGUGCUUUCAAUUUUAAUAUCUGACUCGAAGAUCAACUAGGUGUCAGGUACAAAACUCAACAUCUAUUCUAGCUUCUUUUCUAUUUCUUUCUCUGCCCUUAUUUCAUUAAUUUUCAUGAUCACAACUACGAUGAAUAAGCUUUGAAGUUUUAAAUCUUUGUUUCUCUUUACAACACUCUUCCUUCUGUACUCUACAUUUCUCACUGUAUUUGACCUUUUCUCCAGGAACUACUGCAGUGACCUCAAGUAAAACAAAUCCUAAUCUAAACUUCCUAACUCUCUCCCAAUCAAACCAUUUCUCAUUGUCUCAUUGAUUCAUUCAUUAUAAAUGGUGGUGCCACUCUUUCAGUCUCUCAAACUGGAAAGUUCAGUGACAUUCAUUCCUUCUCUACCCACCAAGUAUUUAAGUCACCACAAAUUCCGUAAGCUCAUUACAAAUAUCUCUUGAAUCCAGUAGAAUUUUUUUUUCUCACAACACUGUUCCCAUGAUGUCCAUUGUCUCUUUCUUGGAAAGAGUUUCUGCUCUGAUUUUUCCAAUGUAUUCCAAAUGAAUCCGAUAUAGGCUUAUUUUCCCAUUCAUCUCAAUAUAUUUUCCUAUUCAUUCCAAAUGAAUCCUAUAUAAGUUCACUUUUCACUUGAGUUACAUUUCUAAUGUAUGAAUUCAUAAUGACAUCAUCAUCAACAAUAGUAAAUCUCCACAUUUAUUGUUCGGCUAAAAACAUUUCGAUCAAGGUUAAAUUUCCUCUGCGUUGAUAUUCCAUCCAGUUAUGUGUCUUUAUAGUAGAAUGAUUUAUAAUCCUUUGGGUAUAUACCAGUAAUUGGAUUGCUGGAGUCAAAUGGCAUUUCUGGUUCUAGAUCCUUGAGGAACCACCACACCAUCUUCCACAACGGCUGAACUAAUUUACACUUCCACCAACGGUGUAAAAGUGUUCCAAUUUCUCCACAUCCUCUCCAGCAUCUGUUGUUUCCUGACUUUUUAAUGACUGCCAUUCUGACUGGUGUGAGAUGCUAUCUCAUCAUGGUUUUGACUUAUAUUUGUGUAAUGACCAGUGAUGAUGAGCUUUUUUUCAUAUGUUUGUUGGCCACAAAAAUGUCUUCUUUUGAGAAUUGUCUGUUCAUAUUCUUUGCCCACUUUUUGAUGGGGUUGUUUGUUUUUUUCUUAUAAAUUUGUUUAAAUUCCUUGUAGAUUCUGGAUAUUAGUCCUUUGUCAGAUGGAUAGAUUGCAAACAUUUUCUCCCAUUCUGUAGGUUGCCUGUUCACUCUGAUGAUAGCAAAGAUUUGGAACCAACCUAAAUGCCCAACAAUGAUAGACUGGACAAAGAAAAUGUGGCACAUAAACACAAUGGAAUACUAUGCAGCCAUAAAAAAGGAUUAGUUCAUGCCCUUGGCAGGGACAUGGAUGAAGCUGGAAACCAUCGUUCUCAGCAAACUAACACAGGAACAGAAAACCAAACACAACAUGUUGUCACUCAUAAGUGGGAGUUGAACAAUGAGAACACAUGGAUACAGGGAGUGGAACAUCACACACUGGGGCCUGUUGGGGGGUAGGGGGUAAGGGAAGGGAUUUCAUUAGGAGAAAUACCUAAUGUAGAUGAGGGGUUGAUGGGUGCAGCAAAUCACCAUGGCACAUGUAUACCUAUAUAACAAACCUGCAGGUUCUGCAUAUGUAUCUCAGAACUUAAAGUAUAAUAAAAAAAUAAAAGAAAAGCUCUACAUGACAGCUUAAGGGGAUUAGAAUUUACCAGAGCCAAUGGGGAGCCAGAAGGUUUUUUCAAACAAGUAAGUGAGAAAUUUGAGGUAGGAGGGGGCUUUCUGUUGUUAUUGAUACUAAUUUGUGAUUUAGUAAAUAUUUUGGUUAAUUUACUGUUAACCAUCAUUGUCUCUCUUUUCUCUAACAGAAAAAUAGACCGCUAGCCUUGUAAGACGGUAGUUUUCAUUGAUGUGUGAAAGAUUUUUUUCCUAAGUUCAGCUAGGUUUUAUUAGUCAAGAUAGCUGUCAUUUUUUUCCCUUAACAAUGUCUCUUUAUGUAAAUUUAUUCUCCAUUUUGAUUGCUACUAUUCUAUUUCAGGCCCUUAUCACCUCACAUCCAAAUAGCUGCAGAAAGAGAGAGAAGAAGAAAGGAAGUAAAAAAUGAAGGAAGGGAGGAGUAGGACUAUGUUCAGACACCCUCCCUAGGUCAAUUAAAUCAGAAUUUUGGAGAAAUGGUCAAGGCAUUCAAAAUUUUUCUUUGUGCCACCAGGGUUGAGAGCCAUUGCCUUUUUGGUCCCUUUUAAUUAGAUUAAUUUUACCUCUAAACCUUAACACCAAAACUCAAUUAACCUUUUUAAGACAUAAUUUUCAGUGCAUGUUUUACUGCUAAAUUUCCUCAGCCAGAGACCGUAGAUAAUAUACCAUUUUUUAAAUUUCACGAGAGAGAUAGCUCUAUUGACAAAGCUGUAUGAAUUUAAUAUAGUUCCAAGGCUGGUACUUUCCUGACUUGGCUCAUUCUCUUACAAAUCUAAGCAUGUUGUAGAGAGUAGGCUUCUCCUGCCUCUGUUGUCUACAGUGAAUAUUUAUGGAGAUAAACUUCCAAACUUUUCUUUGAUUCUUCUUCUGACUUUCGAUUUUCCCUCAUGUCAACCUAUGUGCUUUUCUAUCUGGCCUUUCUCCUUCAGACUGACUGAAUGACAUUUAAUCACAUCUUUCUCUUUUCUGCGAGGUCUCCACAGAUUGAUGGCUACAUAACCAUAGCCCUAAUUUUGCAGGGCUACACAAACACCCUCAUCUAUAUCCUGCUCUUAUAGACAACCCAAAAGCAAGGGUACUUGAAAACAGUCAUUAAAGAUUGCAGGCAUGGAGCUAGGGACAAGGCACAAAAUGGCAAAUGAAGCAUCAUUUCAUUUAUAUAUUAACAUGAGUGGGUCUAAAAUGUAGCUUCUUUGUAAUAUGUGAGAUUGUGAUCUCAUCUUCCAUGACUGCGUGCCUUGAUUCUAACAACAUAUAUCAUCUUCCAAUACCUGCACUCAUUUUUAAGAAAACAAGUUUUAUUUUAUCCCAGUGGCGUACUAGCUAGUAAACUCUGAAGUCAUUUUCUUCUACUCUAUGAUUAAGCACCGAAGUGUCUGGAUGAAGUGGAACCCUUCAACUUUGCUGGCAUUCUUAGAUGGAAGCUUUACACAUUUAAAACACUGAGCUUCUCAGUCCACUGAUUGGUGCUGCUUGGAUCACCAGUCCUUGGCGAGAUCCAGUCCUAUUUCCUAACACUGGGCAUUAUGUUUUUUCUGCAUCCUAUCCUUCUAUUUAGAUUGGGCAUCCUUUAAACUGGGAUCUUGCUAUGUUCCUUGUUACUUGUUAUUCUUCAACUCUCUGUUGUGGAGGAGCUGACAAUUGUGCCUUUUAUUAUUAUUUUAAUUCUGUAAUAAGCCCAAUGAUAUAAAUACAUUCUCCAAUUCUGUGGUUUGCUUUUUCACUCUGUUGAUGAUGUCACUGAUUUUUCCCUAGUUCUUUGAAUAGCUAGCAUUUGUAAAUCUUGUGGGUCUCAUUUUAGACAUAAAGUUCUCAGAAGAACCUUCUUAGAUUACUUUGUUUAGGACUGUGUCAAUGAAGCAUUUUAAGCAAAGGCACAAUAUGAUGAGAUUUACAUUUUGAGAGGAUCAUUCAUGCUUUUGUCUUAAUGAAAGAUACAGGAGAAAGGUUAGCAUUUUAUUGAACAAUUCUGAAGAUAUCUUGGUUGAUUAUGGCUUAAGAUCAUGGCAGCAGAGGUAAAAAGAAGUCCAUGGAUCCUAGAUAUAUUUAAUAAAGAAAUUUGAGAGUUGAUGCAUUAAAUGUAAGAGAUUGAGAGAGGGUGGUUCUAUGCUUGCCCCAUGGAUUUCUAGUUUCAGUAAGCAUCUGGAUAGAUAAUACAAUACAAUGCAAUACAAUACAAUCGCUUGUAUGACUAGGACUGAGUACACAGUAGGAUCUCAGCUCACUGCAACCUCCACCUCCUGGGUUCAAGCGAUUCUCCUGGCUCAGCCUCUGGAGGAUCUGGGAUUACAAGGCAUGCACCACCAUGCCCAGCUAAUUUUUUGUAUUUUUAGUAGAGACAGGGUUUUACCACGUUGGCCAGGCUGGUCUCGAACUCCUGACUUCGUGAUCCACCCACCUUGGUCUCCCAAAGUGCUGGGAUUACAGGCAUAAGCCACGAAGCCCAGUCAACAAUUAAAUAAUCAAGUCAUUAUUGUGAAUUUGGAUCUAAAUGACCUGGCAGAAACCAUGGAGAUGAUCUUGGAUUUAAAGAGGAAAAACUCAAAGCAAUGUAUUCUGAUCAAGAAAUGGCAGGAAAUGGCAGCUACCUGAUAUGGAACAAUCAACAACUGAAGGUUUAUUUUGAAUGAGAGGUGUUGUCCAACUGCGAGACGGAGUGAUUGAAGCUGAGAAUAAAUGGAAACACAAUCAAUAGUCACUCCAGUGAGGUAGGAAAGAAAGCCAUUCCGAAGUGGCAGAGAAGCUGCUUUUUCCUCCUGCAUGCUGCCUGCUAGUGUGGAUCUUGGCAUAACAGACACUACUUGGCAAAAGAUCCAUCCUUCCUUUUCCUAUACUUUGCUCAGCGGCCUGGAAGAUUGACCUCAAAAGCAAAAUCACCUGGAUUUCCUUGCCAUUUGGCUUUCAAAUGUGCUCAGCCAAUGACAGGCUGGAAAGAAAUUGACAGCUGGGAAAAGAGGAAGAUUUGUGUACAAGAUCCCUUCCACUCCCAUCUCAUUACCUGCCAUGGUCCUAGCAGUGGCUGUUCUUAUUAUGGCCACAACUACUCUUGGACAGGCCAACAUCCACAACUCCAUCCUUCAACUAGGCUUCAUUAACACUGUCCCUCACCCUUAUCUCUUUCUGGGUAGGGGUGAUAAAGGUUUCCUGACAUCAGAGUUCCUGAGUGCCUCAUAUAUUCUUGUUGGUCCCUGAACCUUGCCCCAACAUCAAUAAAAAGUUCCUUCAUUAAAUAAUUUUCAGUUGAAUCUUUCGUGCUGGGAUCUGUCCAAUUCGACUUUAGCAUACUUUUCGUGCCAAGAAAGUGAUAGUUUCUUGCCAGGAUUUGGCUCAAAGGGCUCACAGUGGGUGAGGGGAUGAGAUUACUUAUUAAGUGAUAAAAUGGAGAUCACAGUGGUUAACCUGCCUAAGAUCACAUGGUUGGUCAACUCAUGGUCGAUUCAUUAAAAUAUUAAAACAUAGAAUCAGUCAGGC